ensembl:lncRNA
CCCGAGGCGGUGCCCGAUGCCGAGGCGGUCCCCGAUGCCGAGGCGGUGCCCGAGGCGGUUCCCGAUGCAAUGUCCGAUGCCGAGGCGGUGCCCGAUGCCGAGGCGGUGCCCGAUGCCGAGGCGGUGCCCGAGGCGGUGCCCGAUGCGGUGGCCGAGGCGGUUCCCGAUGCAAUGUCCGAUGCCGAGGCGGUGCCCGAUGCGGUGCCAGAGACGGUGCCAGAGACGGUUCCCGAUGUAAUGCCCGAGACCGAUGCUGUUCCGCAGGUCGAGGCGGUGCCCGAGGCUGUGCCCGAUGCCGACACGGUGCCCGAUGCUGUUCCGGAGGCCGAGGCGGUGCCCGAUGCGCAGGCCGAGGUCGU